rnacentral:lncRNA from 1 species
AAGAGUAGAGAGAACGAGCGAAAUAUAAGAGAUACAAAGAAAAAAUUCGAAAAGAAAGAAGAGAGAGACGGGAAAAACAAAACCGGGCUUGCUAUGUUUGGCAAGCCUGAUGGCCUUUGGUCAGCCCGAUGUUGAUUAGGAUUUAGCCAGUUUGUUAUAGACGGUUUUUUUAGCUUUCUCUGCCUAUUUUUUAGAUUUGAACUUUUAGUCUUCUCCACUAGAGAUGGCCUUACAGGUGAGGAACCGUUGAUGUGGGACUCUAGAAACGUCAUUGUAGCUAGUAUUGCCACCUGUCCCUGAGCAAGUGGGCUUCAAGUUGGAGGAAUGGAGAGCUGAUUUGUUUGAGGUUGGUUCGUGUGCUUUGCAAGAGUGCCUCAGUAAGAAUCUUUCAAAGGAUUACCGAGGUUUCCUAGUUGACAAGUAAUCGGUGGUUUCAGAGUCUAUAUAAGUUGCUGGUACAAACAAGUUAUAUUUAUCAUUUUUGAAAACUAUAAAUCAUUUUCAAAUUGAAUACCAAAAAACCCUAAAUUCUAUUAAAAUUAAACUCAAUUGGUAAAAAUGUUCUUUAAGAUUGAAAUAACUCAUCACUUUGGUUUCUGCUAAUGAAAAUCGAUUGAAAUGGUCUCUGAGUUUGUCAACUGUAAAUCAUUUUGGUCAAUAAGUGAAAAAUCCGUCAAUCUCUUUGUUACAUUAUCACGUGAACGACCACGUAAUCAUCUUUUUAAGUAUUUUUGUCACUUAUCCAAAGUGUAGGCAUGCAAGCUGGUUGGAUGUCACGUAGGGCUGGGCACGGGCCAGGCUGGGCCAAAUUUUAAAGGAACCGGAGCUUAAACGAAACAGGCGGGGCCUGGCCGGGUACAUCAUAUUUCAUUACAGGAAUUGAAUCGAACCCGACUCGUUUCAAAAGGGCCGGUCCGGGCCUGGUCCACGGUUCCUUUUUUUUUUUUUUUUUUUUUUGUUUGGGAAAAAACAAUUAUAGUAGCACAAAUUCAAUUUCAAACAAGAUCGUAGUUCAUAAAGGCUUGGAUAGUAUAAACAUGAAACAAACAAUUUAGGAGUCUCCACAUUGACAAUUGUACAUUAAGAUUAGUACAUGUCUUAUUUAGUGCAUAACUCCUAUGGAUAUGGUUAUUUAUAUGCCAAACUUAUCAAACAGUUGCUAUAUAUGCAUAACUAAUCAUACCUUUAAGUGGAUCACAGUAAAACAUUACGCACUAACAUUAAUUUGUAUCACAUCGUAACCAUAUCCGUAUCUAUGCUUCGUAGUUCGUAGGUAUCACAAGAUAGUUCACUAUAUUAAUCAAAUAUCCAUUGUUAUAAUUCAAGAUGAUGUGCUAUUUAUUUGUGCUAUUAUUUGUCUCUAGAAUUAUAUCAUUUUGGUUAAGAAAAGAAAUCUACUGUGACUAAUUUAAGUCUUUCUGAUUGUGGCUUCUUUUACACAUUUGAAUUUGUUUUAGAAUUGUAAGAACAUUUGAGUGACAGAAAGCAUGAAAUGUUGAACCUAGCAGAAUAAGCAUACGUGAAACCCUAACAAAAACAAGAAGAAGAAAAAAACACAAAUCUGAAAACGCAGUUCUUGAUCCAUUAAAUUCAAAAUUGCCUACUCAGAUUGAAAUCCUAAUCCCAAUCGCAACUAGCUGACCAAGCUUUUCGUUUCUAGGGUUUCAUCAUCAAUAACUAAACACAUCCCAACACAAAUCCCAAAUCCCACCCUAACAUAUCCACAAUUCCUUCACCCAUAGGCUGGUAACAGUUCAAUACCAUCCUAACAGAUCCACAAUCCUAACUUAAUAGAUCCACACAGGCUGGUAGCAAUUUAAUUUUCGAAGAAGUAGACUUACCGGUAGCCGGGCAAGUAAAAGAAUCUAGGCUGGUCGCAUAGUGUCCUCGACGUUGGUGAUGGGGGGUGAUGGUGGUCGCGACGGCAGUGAUGUUGUCGAAGAGGAGAUAAUCGAGGUUGUGGGACCUGGGGGUUCUCUGGGUCUUGAGAAUUGGGAUGUCGUCGAGGUCGGAGGAUGGUUGAAUGGGUUGUGUUGGUUGCGGCGUCGAGGGAGUCGAGGGAGUUAGUCGAGGGACAGAUGGUGGAGGACAGGUGGGAGUGAGUGAGUGAGAGAGGAGAGUAUGUGAGUGAGACCGUGGUGAGUGUGAGACUAGGGUACAAACUAACGGUUCAGAUUGAAUGAUAAGUUAUCAUUCAAUCUCGACCGUUGAUUAUAAUUAGAAACGGGUUGGUCUAGGACCCCUUUUUG